GAGAGAGAGACAUGCGCGCAUAUCAAUAAGCGGAGGAAAAGAAACUAACAAGGAUUCCCUUAGUAACGGCGAGUGAAGCGGGAAGAGCUCAAAUUUGAAAUCUUCAAGGUUUUACCUUGACGAAUUGUAGUUUAAAGAAGUGUUUUCUGCUGAAGUUUUGGUAAAAGUUCUUUGGAAUAGGACAUCAUAGAGGGUGAGAAUCCCGUAUUUGACCAUUAUUUUCAGCUUUGUGAUACACUUUCAAAGAGUCGGAUUGUUUGGGAAUGCAGUCCAAAAUGGGUGGUAAAUUUCAUCUAAAGCUAAAUAUUGGCGAGAGACCGAUAGCGAACAAGUACCGUGAGGGAAAGAUGAAAAGAACUUUGAAAAGAGAGUUAAACAGUACGUGAAAUUGUCAAAAGGGAAGCGUUUGACACCAGUGUUGGUUUCUCGAAAAUCAAUUAAAAAAGGCAGGAUUUUGUGUUGUAUUGACUUUAUCAGCUUUCCGCACUCUUUUCUUGUCUUUUUUUAAUGCACUUUUCGUUUAACAAGUCAACAUCAAUUUCUUUUGUUGUAAAAGGGUCAUUGGAAGGUGGCUUUCUUUUCGGAGAAAGUGUUUAUAGCCUUUGGCCUCUGCAAUCGAAGAGACUGAGGUCUGCAGCGUAGACUCUUCGGGGUUAGAUACAUUUGUGCUAAGUUAUAGCUUUUUAUAGACAACUUGUUGACUAUAAUUAGUCUUGUAGCUUACUCGCUUACGCUAUUUUACCUACGCUUAGGAUGUUGAAGAUGUAGCACAUCAU
rnacentral:rRNA from 1 species